rnacentral:tRNA from 1 species
UAGUGAGUAGUAUAAGUGGAAAUACGGAAAGUUUUGGAUUUUCUGAUGGGGGUUCAAGUCCUCUUUCUCUAG